ACCACAUCCAGGCCAGCGACUGCCGCUCCCCUGUAGCGGGAGCGCCCGAGGAGGCAGCAACGCUCUUGCACCCAGUCACCAGGAGGACGACAUGACUGAUACAAAGUUGCUGCGACACAGCCUGGACUCGGCGGCUCCCUUAAAGCCGCACGGGCGACUGGGGUGCCGAGCAGCGGCUACGACACCAGGCAGCAGGCCCCCUGCGCACGCUGACCCCCGCCCCCUCGCUCAGCAGCCCUCAGCUUACUCGCGCCACCUGGCUCUCCUGCCCACCCUACGAUAUCGGAAAAGACAUGCAAAGUGUGGUGACGCGUCAAAGUCGGCUUUCCCGAGAGCCAGUCAAGGUGUAAUCCCCUCACGCUCUCCACCUGCAGCGCCAGGUGAAGGGCAGCCCUGGCCCAGACUCCACCCGCAGCGUCCGCGCGCAGGGGAGGACUCCCGCGGGGGCCGCACCGACCCCCGAGGUCCUCUCCACGCCCCUUUCCUGCGUUUCCGAGUUACCUCUCAGCAGAGCAGCCGCAGUGUCCGCUGCCAGCUUGCAAGAGGAUCACGUUCCCACUUGAUUUGAAUUUCCUUGUUUUAACCGUGCAGGAAAAGUGGGUGAUUUCAGCGUCGCCGAGCCUUUUAAACACAGCCUCUCACCCACUUCCUCACCCCCCCCCAACCAAAAAAAAAAAAAAAAAGUACCAGGGUCAGGAGCUGCUGCUCUCUCUCCUUAUAAUUUUGUUACUGUCCUUACUACUUCAGCGUUGGAUUUUUCCACUAGUUCAAUUAGAAAGAAAAGCCUUCGGUCGAGGAUAUUCACUUCUUUAUAAUGGGUGGCAGUGGUGCAUAUAACUGGGGGGGGGGGGCGGGGGGGACAUACAGAAGAGGGGGAAGGAACCGAACUCUUUUCUAAGGAUAGGGCAUCUGCAAGAAGAAAUGUCCGAUUCCCUCCAACCGCCCCUACCUCGACUCUCCUCACGCCCACCCAACCUCUGGGCUUCUUAACUUCGAUAUCUAAGGACGUUGAGGGUCCGCGUGUGCGGCCCGGUUUUAGGCUCCCAGCUGGCUCCAAAUCAGCACCAGUGACGUACACGCCUAAAUCUGGUACCCUGGCCCUCGGCGACCUGCCUGCAGCCGGGCGCCAGCAGCUGCUCAGCCUCCCGCCUCACCCUCGCCCCGCGCCCGCCUAAGUCGUGGGGAAGGCGUUCACCCUGUGCCCAAAGGCCCCUCUUCGCCUCGCAGUUAAUUAAGCUUCGGGAUUUCGGACCCUGAAAGCAAGAAGACUCAAACUUCCAGCCAUUGCAGGCAGGGAACUCCCUGCUAGAGGAGGCGACAGAGACGGCGCGGGAGAGCUGGUCCCCACGCCUCCUCAGGUGUUCGGCAUUCCCCUGCGCAGAGCGACCCCCGGUGCCCCAGGUGCCGGGAGUCCCGGCCAAGUGUCCCGACUUUCCCGAGGGGCCCGCCGUCACUCGCGCUCUCCCAGCCCGGCAGCAGUUGUGCGUCGAUCGCACUCGGGCGGAGCACAGGCGGCAGGCAGGAGCGAGGGGAGUCCCGGAGCUGGCGCCCGGGCACGCGAGGAGGCGGCAGCAGCUCAGCCUGCGCUGCCAAAUUAUUCAUUAUUAAAGGAAUGGACGUGCC